CAUCCUAUUACCUACCAUCUGUCUUUGCCCUGGUCCAGUCCUGAUUCCUUCCAUGUCUGUUGCCUGGAUUUUCAUGCGCCUGCUUCCAGCCUGUUUAUGUUUUUCACCUGCCUGUGUUCCUGUGCCGGGUCGUUUGGAGACAACUUUGGCAGAUAAAAAGUUAAAAGAAUGGUGCCUGAAACUGAGCCCUGAGGGGCUCCACAUGAAGAAAGGAUUAAUGGAAGAUACAUUUCCCCAAUUUAACACAGAAAAUCCACUCUGUCAUGCAGGAUCUGAACCAAUCUAGUGCUGUGUUCCUGAUGCCCACUCACUGCUCUUCUAAAAGCCCAAGAACAGCACAGUCACCCAAGUCAGAAGCUAAACACACUCCAAACAGUUAAAAACUAUGAAAACGGCUGAUUCUUUGAUGUAAAUUUUUUUUCCAAUAUUUGUUGUCGUUUAGGAGAAGAAUUGAAAAUUAUAUCCAACAAAAUCAACAAAUAUGCAUCAACGUGCACUGUACAUUGGUUGAAGUUAUGGUAAAAUAAAUAAAACUGAGAAAUAUG